AGCAUCCCUCUCACAUACCUCACAUAACACUGUAGAGUUCAAGAAAGCUAAGACGUCUAGCAAUGGGGUGAGUACUUUUGCUUAAAAUUCUCCCAUGUUAGUGGGAUGCCUUGGUUCCUGCUUGGAAGGGGGGAUCGGUGAGGAAGAAGCACCCCGCAGGACACGGUUCCCGCUUGGAAGGGGGGGUGGGGGACGGACAGAGCACACCGCAGGGCAGGUUUCACGCUUGGAAGGGGGGAUCGGUGAGGAAGAAGCACCCCGCAGGACACGGUUCCCGCUUGGAAGGGGGGGUGGGGGACGGACAGAGCACACCGCAGGGCAGGUUUCCCGCUUGGAAGGGGGGGUGGGGGACGGACAGAGCACACCGCAGGGCAGGUUUCACGCUUGGAAGGGGGGAUCGGUGAGGAAGAAGCACCCCGCAGGACACGGUUCCCGCUUGGAAGGGGGGGUGGGGGACGGACAGAGCACACCGCAGGGCAGGUUUCACGCUUGGAAGGGGGGGUGGGGGACGGACAGAGCACACCGCAGGGCAGGUUUCCAGCUUGGAAGGGGGGAUCGGUGAGGAAGAAGCACACCGCAGGGCAGGUUUCCCGCUUGGAAGGGGGGGUGGGGGACGGACAGAGCACACCGCAGGGCAGGUUUCCCGCUUGGAAGGGGGGAUCGGUGAGGAAGAAGCACCCCGCAGGACACGGUUCCCGCUUGGAAGGGGGGGUGGGGGACAGACAGAGCACACCGCA